rnacentral:rRNA from 1 species
AACGAACGCUGGCGGCAGGCCUAACACAUGCAAGUCGAACGCCGUAGCAAUACGGAGUGGCAGACGGGUGAGUAACGCGUGGGGACAUACCCCUCGGUUCGGAAUAACUUAGGGAAACUUGAGCUAAUACCGGAUACGUCCGAGGUUUUAACCGGCCUCGGAGAAAGAUUUAUCGCCGGAGGAUUGGCCCGCGUCUGAUUAGCUUGUUGGUGAGGUAAUGGCUCACCAAGGCGACGAUCAGUAGCGGUCUGAGAGGAUGAUCAGCCACAUUGGGACUGAGACACGGCCCAAACUCCUACGGGAGGCAGCAGUGGGGAAUAUUGGACAAUGGGCGAAAGCCUGAUCCAGCCAUGCCGCGUGAGUGAUGAAGGCCUUAGGGUUGUAAAGCUCUUUUACCCGGGAAGAUAAUGACGGUACCGGGAGAAUAAGCCCCGGCUAACUUCGUGCCAGCCGCCGCGGUAAU